GAUGAAGAAGCAGCGAAAUGCGAUAAGUAGUGUGAAUUGCAGAAUUCAGUGAAUCAUCGAAUCUUUGAACGCACAUUGCGCCCCUUGGUAUUCCAUGGGGCAUGCCUGUUCGAGCGUCAUUUGUACCUUCAAGCUUUGCUUGGUGUUGGGUGUUUGUCUCGCCUUUGCGUGUAGACUCGCCUUAAAAUAAUUGGCAGCCGGCGUAUUGAUUUCGGAGCGCAGUACAUCUCGCGCUUUGCACUCAUAACGACAGCGUCCAAAAGUACAUUUUACACUCUUGACCUCGGAUCAGGUAGGGAUACCCGCUGAACUUAAGCAUAUCAAUAAGCGGAGGA
rnacentral:misc_RNA from 1 species